GGCACUGAUGCAGGAUAAUUAGGAGGAACUCAGUCUAAAUCAGAGGAAGGAGGAAUUAAUCCCUAUUUUACAGAGGAGAUUACCGAGGCCCAGAGACGCUAAAGUACUCGCUGCGGACAAGUGGUGGAGCCGGAGUGGUAAUUUCACGAGGAUCUUUCCUACUUUAAAAUGGAAUGAUGGAAUCUAUGGCUUUCAUUUGGAACCCAUCUCUUUCUUUUGCCAAGUAAUAACGAAAGCAGUAAAACGGUAGGAGACUUAAAGACAUGCUUAUUAUAAAGCAAGAAGCGCCCUUGGAGAAAAACGAUCUACAAUCGAACCGUCAUGGAAUUCGGACUGUUUUAAAACACAGAAUCACGGUGGUACGUUAACAUCUACCGCAACGAUCACUUUCUUAUUUAGCUCUGGUCUUUUUGGGGAUUGUAAAGGUCGCCUUUGCGGGGCUGGAGCAGGAAAGCCCUAGGGGGAAGAAAAAGCAGAAGCGGGGCUCAAUUCCCCCUUGCCUUUAUAGCUGUGGCUUUGGUGGAGGAGGGGCUACCACCGUUCGGGCCGCCGGGGCAGAAAGUCCGGGAGCAAGCCGGCGCCUCAGCCCCGGGAGGAGCUGAAGCCUCCGCGCCCGGUUCCGGCCGGUUGGGGAGCAGCGGUGCUGCUUGGCCCCAGGUCGCGGGAAUCGACGGCAUCUUGGGCCCGGCCCAUGGCCCUGCCCACACCCAGCUCACUGCAGUGCCUGCCCCAGCCCCACUUUCCUUCAUGGAAUCCAACUCUUUCAUGAAAAUUGGUGGUGAAGAUAUAAAGACCUUGGCCACACUGGAAGGUAGCAGGUGA
rnacentral:lncRNA from 1 species